GGCGGGUUCGACAUCAGAUCAUCUAAGUACAUAAGCGAAAACUAUUAGGCUGACAAGAUGCAAUUUUUGAUCUGGAUUUUGCGGAUUUGGUUAUAGAUACAACUCCGACAAUAUCGGAUCUGACAUAUCAAGUGGCGAAAGAUAGUUAUGAUUUAUAAUAAGGUGGGUGGUACGAAUGCUUGUGCGCAACAUAAUGUUAUGGGUAAGAUGUUUGCGGUGUGUGAUUACAGAUUCGAGAACGUCAAGAAUGCGAUGGUUAAUUUCUAUCUAAUAUUAUGGUAUGUUGCCUUGUUUGAGAAUUCAUGUUCUGUUAAGCCGUUUGUAAGAGUAGGAGUCUUUAUCGGGGAAAAAAAUACAAAUUUCGAGAUGUUGAUUUUUUUUUCCUUCUUUUUCCUGUUACUUUUUGUUUUGUUUGUUUGUCUGUCAGCCAUUAUUGGUACAUCAUCUAAUAUCAUGGUAUGUUGCCUUGUUUGUUACUUUUUGUUUUGUUUGUUUGUAAGAGUAGGAUGUAAAGCAGCGCGUCCUCAGACAUUGGCUGAUACUCAGCAUAUUGGACUUGAUUUUUUUUCUUAUUUUUCAAUAAACAAUCUUAAUGAUAUUUGAAUUAUUGAAUGUCAAAGCUGAUGCCUUGAAGUAGUAGUUAAUCCUAGUUUCUGUAUAUUGGCCAAGAACUAGGAAUCUCUUGCUGCUUACCAAAUUUUUCCAGUUUUUCAUCGACUGAGAUAAACCGAGAUCUUGGUACGUCUUGGUUCCAGCCACCCAGUGAGAUGGCCAAGAUGCAUUUUGGAAACCUUGUCAAUUAAUUCUUCAUUUUCUAAAUGUUGUAGUCUUAUUCAGAUGCUUUACAUAAGAGAUUGCUAUAUGCUUCCCUGUUUACUUGCAUUAAUUUUCAUACUUGACCAGCAGUUUAAUGUGUUGUAGUUUUUUUCAUUUUGUCCUCUGCAAACUAAGCAUUUACAGUUAUUUCUAAGAUAACAAUCUAGCAGACGGCGUUGGUGAAGAAAUCCAUAUUCAGAAGAUUUGCUCUGACGUUUACAUUAACUGGGUGUGGCUAAUAGUUUAAAUGUCUAAUUUUGGUGGCUUAGUUAUCUAUCUACCACCUUUCAUGUUUGUUAUUUUUAGCUGAACUUUAAUGCUGAGAUGUGUUUUGUAUAUCCAUAAUAGAAAAUAUUUCAGGUUUGAUUUGAGGAAGGUUGUAUAUCUAGUUCAAAAUGAUGUAUUUGAAGGAUGGUUUCUUGAAACAUCCAAAAUUGUGAUCUAAAACCUUCUAGUUGUAGGUUGAGAGCUUUAUGAAUCUUCUAUACUUGCCUGGCUCUAAGAGAAUCUCUUAUCUGGCUCUAAGAGAAUUUCUUAUCUGUCAUGAUUCUAACAAAACAUUUAGCUCCAAUGAGCUUGAUGUAUACCUUAUGUUAUACAUCAGUAGUUGCUCUUGAAUUUGUUUGAAUCAUCAGGUAAAUCCUUCCUUUUUGCUUUUACUCAGGUUUUAUCAUGCAUAUUUACAUGCAAUGCUAAGAAACCCAUAUAAAUGAGCAAAUGGAGUUUUAGAUGUCUAUAGUGUAUAAUGAGAAUAAUUUAGUCAGUGUUAUUAAUAAUUUGAUUGAUUUUCAACUAAUUCAAAUUCUUAUUUAAAGAAUAACAGGGGGAAAAUUGUUAGAGAACCAUGAAAAUGUUCAUGUAGAAAGAGUUUUUAUCAGAUGGAGGUUUUUGUCUAAAUGAUGUAGUCAAAAUCUUGUAUAUAUCAUUUCCAAACCCUGUGAAGGGAACAUGUGUAAAUGGAAAUUUUUAUUAACUGUUGCAAAGACUAGAGAUUAGAGUAGUGUUUUAACUUUUCUAUGUUCAAUAGGUAUGUAGUUCUAAACUUCUUUUAUCAAUGCUUUCCCUUGCCAUUCCUGCUUUGUUUUUGCUUCUGUGCUGAAAAUGUCACUUGCAUUUUUAAGUUAAAUGCAUGUAAAUCAUUGUAUAUUUUGUUCUCCCUGGUCUCUUUUACAAUUUACUUCCUACCUGGGUCAAGCUUUGCCCGCACGAAUAAAUGUUUGCAAAUUCUUUGUUCUUAUACUUAUUGCUUGAAUCUCUAAAAAAAUUGUCAGCUUGCAAUUUCCAGAGAUAAGUGCAGUCAUAUCUCACUGAUUUGAGCUUAAGCCUAGUUGCAAAGAAGCUCGAAAUGAUAUGUAAUUUCUUGCAUACAGUUGAUUUCAUCAUUAAAAUAGUAGCUCCAGUCAUUUUGAUGAUCAAUCUUUUGGUAUUGUAUUGGCCAUCAUCAUAAUUCUACUUCUCUUUUUAAAGUUUAGUAUCAGCCGAGCUAAUCUGAGAUUUUGCAAUCCGGCGAAGCUGUUUUACUAUCAUAAUGCUAUGAUAUACCCUUAUCUCAGUAGGGACUAUCUUAUACACAUAUAGAAUGUACAUUUCUUUUGGAGAAAGAAAUGUAGUGUUUAAUCUAUAGAUCAACAUUUGCAGCAUGUGAUAUACAUUGCAGGACUCUUAAGCAGCCUUUAAUGGAGACCAUCAGAUAUGUAGUAAACUUUCCUUUAACUUGUUUGGAAUCUCAAUAGCUCAAGUUUAUGCCUGCCUUGUUGCACUAUGUAAAGCACCUGUCACCUGACAUUACUCACCUCUCGUUGCACACUAUCUGCCAUCCUUAUUAGUUUGUGCGAAUGAACUUGUGGUCAAUGUAUGCUAUGCUAAAUGCUGCCCUAUUAUUUUAUAUAUCUGAUAUUUCUUAUACCUGGAAUACAACCACCAUGGGUUUUUUUAGUUAUAUUUCUCUAUUUUGAUAGGGCACUCCAAAUUUAUCCCUACUUGCAGAAGUUUCAUAGUCUUACUUGUACGUGCUUUAUUGCUUCAGGUUAUGGACCUAUUGUAGCCUCAAUAGCAUCCAGCAUAUAAGAUAUUAGUAGCAUGAGCUGGAAAUACACUUUCACAUUCAAAUUAUCUUACCUAAGGGUCUUCUUUUGUAACUUCUGAACAAAAAGAAAUACCAAGUAAUCAAGCUAUGAGACAAUAAGCCAUACAGAUGAAUUAGCCAAAAGGUGAUCUUAUUAGCAAUGUGGUUGCUUCUUGCUUGUUGGGGGACAAAAAUGUUGGGAAUGAUUGGAAUAGUAGCUUGAGGAUUGAAUGCCCAACCCUUGUUAUAUAACCUUGCACCCUAUAGAUAGGUGUCUUUCUCGCAUUAUAGAUAUGGUUGAGUUGAUACCCAACUAAUUGUGGAUGGCAACGUUUGCCAUACCGGUCGGUACCAGUGUAUACUAACCGUACCGUACUAUACUGGUACCAAAUAAAUAUGUGGUACAGAAGGCGUACCGACAUUUGGUAUGCCAAACCGGGUACUGUAAUAGGCAUACUGACACUGUAAUAGGAUGGUAUUAGUAUGGGGUUUGGUACCGAAACGGCAAACCUUGGUGGAUGGUACCAUUAUUAGUUAGUUUUCUAGAUUUUGAGGAUCAAAACAAUAUUUUUGGUGUUUCAAAAUAAGUAUUAGUCAAGGUAAAUUUUUGUUGCUUUUGUAACUUCUCAGGUGACUUGUUAGUUAAAAUGUUACAAUGUUCAUAAGAAGCAACUAGUUCAAAACUUCUCUCUUUUGUUAGAUUUUGGUUGAGCUCAAUAAAGUUCGCACUGCAACUUGGGUAAGUUGUGAGUCACAGAUGCAUGCUUCCUCGUGACCUCAUCACUAAGCAGUCAUGUUGAUGUCAAUCCAUUGCGUUACUGUAGCAUGUUUACAGUAUGACCUAAGUGCAUCUCUGGUGCAAACCAAGCCAACUACGGUUUGUCAUUGGUGUGAUCGAUGUAGCCUUGGUAUCAUGGCAUCUAUGCACCUCAGGUUGACCUGUAACAUUUGGGUAGAUUGAUAACCAAUUUCUGUCCCACACGUUUUUGAGGAAAUGUCUUUUGUUGAUAUCUUCCAUCAAGAGCUGAUCAUGGGCUGGGUCUCGGGCCUAAACUCUAUUCAUUUUUAAUCGGGUUUCGGGCUGGACCUAUGUAAAAUUUGAUAUUUUCUACACCCAAGCUUGGCCCAUGAUCAGCAAUGCUUCCAUGUCAACACUUGGGUCCCAAGACAUCUCUCUCAAACCUGUCAUCAAGAAAUUCAGUUGCAUACAUGCCCAAAAUCACAAGUCAAAUCUACAAAUGGAAUCAGGCCUACCCAAGCGUUGGACCUAUUGUAACCAUUCUUUGAGGCCUAAACAACCGCUGCAGAUCCUGUCUUAUAGAUAUGGAGAAGCAUGAACCUGGCAGGUAAGCAAUCCACAUCAACAUUUGUCUUUUCCAUCAUUGCUGGAGUUCCAACUCAAGGAGCUCCAUUCCCCUUCCAUUUAACUUGAGAGGCAACAAUCUCUCUUAGAUAGCAAGCAUCACUGUCAGAGACAUGCUGAAAUCAUCAUUUCUGAGAAAAAUCUGUUCUUUCUCCAGCUCUUUGGAGUUCUAGGGAACCAGUUUGUUUUCCCUGGCUAGCUGAACAUAAUCGCUUUCUUGGCUUUUAUACUGUCGUGUUUUAAGGCAUGCUUGGAACCCACUACCUAGGGACAACACUGCUGGAAUUUGAGUUGACAAAGUCAUGCUUGAACUGUUUUGCUAUGAGGGUGGCCUGCGGUACAAUCAUAACCCAUACUGGCAUGUGUUAGCCAGAGAAGCAUGGUGUUGCAGAGGUGGUCCUGUGAUAUGCAUUGGAGGUCUGAAGCGAUUUUACUAUACUAUCACAUAUCAUCAAUCUUGCACAGAGAAUUUCUGCUGAUGUUUCAAGAUUACUAGAGAUCAUGCAUGGAAAAGUGAAUGUUUUACCAAGUCCACGUUUGGCAAAACUCAAGAAGUUGGCAGAGAAAAGCCUGUUAAAAGGCUUGCUUUCUAUAAGCAACUCUUACUUUUCGAAAACCAAUGUAAGAUGGACUGCUAGAUUAAGCCUUCUGAAAAUAGGACUACUAUUUCUGUUUAGCACUAAUUGAUCCGAGUUUUGAUUGAGCCGAUCACAAGUUCAGCACUACCAAGUCAUUGACCACAUUCAAUCACCAGGGCAAAUUGGGAGGGUACCCUAGUUUGUUUGAAGACGAGAACUUUUAGCUCUCCCAGGAUCAUGGACAUGUUUGGAAUUUUCUCCCUUUUAUCCUUUUUCAUAUCAAGCUUAUUUCGACCUGUGUUACUGAUUUAUGGUUUUAUAGUUCUUGGGGAAGAUGCAGCAUAUUUUCUCCUCGUUUCCUCGCUUUUGAUUGUGGUACAAUGUGUAAUUUAUAUUCCAAGAAAUCCGGAUUUUGCUUUUCAUAGUGUAUGCAGGGCUGCCUGUAUGUUUCUCACCACCGGUCUUGAGAGUUCAUGCUGCUAAUUUCCUCCAUGGAUAUAUAAACAGGGCUGCACAUGUAAAAGCAACAUCAUCCGAUAUUAUGUGUAGCAGUAGCCAAAGUGUCUCUUGUUGUCCUACUUUCACUGAUUUGGAAUAUUGGUUUUAACAUCUGCUUGAGACGACGGCUGGACGAGUUUUGAAGUCCAUUUUCUGGGUACAUGCGCAAUUUUUUGGUUGUGAUGAGAGAAAUUGUUUGCUACCAUCUGCAUUCUAGAUUUUAAAUUAUACAGGCUAUCAACAAUAUGAAUAACAUGGGAUGGUGAAAUUAUGUUUACAAUGGAUCAAUGGUCAGCUUUUACGUUAAUUUGCUCAUCGGUGUGGGCAUGGCGGAUUCAUUCCUUUGAUGCAAUAAUUUUUUUGAUGACGUAAUUGAUAUUUUUCGCAGAUAUGUAACCAUGGAAGCUUGAGUUUUGGCGGGGCAAUUCCAUGUUGUUGCGAUGGAUCUUUUUCCCCACUUUUAUUAGCGCCUUGUGGAAUCAUGCCAUACUAACUCA
rnacentral:lncRNA from 1 species